rnacentral:ncRNA from 1 species
AGGUUCUGGCAAUCGCCAGAUCAAAAGGGAACGGGGUGCGAAUCCCCGACAGGACCGCUGCUGUAUGGAUGAGCGGCGCGCAGAUGCCAUUGGCGCAAGCUGAGAAGGCGCGCGACGCGAUGAACCCGAGUCAGAAGACCUGCCUGCGAAUGAA